UGAGGAAUAUUGGUCAAUGGGCGCGAGCCUGAACCAGCCAAGUCGCGUGAGGGAUGAAGGUUCUAUGGAUCGUAAACCUCUUUUAUAAGGGAAUAAAGUGCGGGACGUGUCCCGUUUUGUAUGUACCUUAUGAAUAAGGAUCGGCUAACUCCGUGCCAGCAGCCGCGGUAAUACGGAGGAUCCGAGCGUUAUCCGGAUUUAUUGGGUUUAAAGGGUGCGUAGGCGGCCUUUUAAGUCAGCGGUGAAAGUCUGUGGCUCAACCAUAGAAUUGCCGUUGAAACUGGGGGGCGUUGAGUAUGUUUGAGGCAGGCGGAAUGCGUGGUGUAGCGGUGAAAUGCAUAGAUAUCACGCAGAACCCCGAUUGCGAAGGCAGCCUGCCAAGCCAAUGACUGACGCUGAUGCACGAAAGCGUGGGGAAUGCAAACAAGGAUUGAGAUACC
rnacentral:rRNA from 1 species